AAAGGACUUUGCAGAUGUGACUAAGUUAAGAAUUUUGAGAUAUGGUGAUUAUCUUAGAUUGUUUGCGUGGACCCAGUAUAAUCCCCGAGGGCUUCCAGGGUGGAUCAGAUGGUAAAGAAUCCUCCUGCAAUGCAGGAGACCUGAGUUCAACCCCUGGGUCAGGAAGAUCCCUUAGAGAAGGAAAUGGCUGCCCCCUCUAGUAUCUUUGCUUGAAGAAUUCCAUGGACAGAGGAGCCUGGCGGGCUAUAGUCCAUGGGGUUGCAAAGAGUUGGACACGACUUCACACAGCUUUUUAUAAGGGAAAGAAGGAGGCAGGAGCGUGAGAGAGAAAGAGAGAAUGGAAGAUGCUCUGCAGCUGGCUUUGAGGAUCGAGGAUGAGGUCACUAGCCAACGAAUGCAGACACCCUGUAGGAGCUUGCAAAGGCAAAGGAACAGCUUCUCCCUCACAGUUUCCUAACGGGAUGCCACCUGCCAACACCUUGAUUUUAGCCGACUGAGACUGAUUAUGGACUUCAGACCUCCAGCAAUUUAAGAUGAUAAGCUUGUGUUGUUUGAAGACAUUUCAUUGUGAUAAUCUGUCACAGCAGCAAUAGGAUAUUUCUGCAACCCCUCAAGGACAAAAGGAGCAGAAAAGCUGACAGCAGCGGUCGAGAUAAUUCAACACGUGCUUAGAAGAUAGGAUAGAUGCAGGAAGGGCAACUGACUUAGCAGAGUUGGGGAAACUGAUACCUAAGCCUGCAGAAGGGGUAUUGAUGAGAAGGAAGCGAAUUUGCCCGACAGGAACCCAGAGUUCAGGGGUUAGUGGCCGUGUCUGCUUUAUGCCAUUUGUAGAGCCUGGGAAAAGAGCAUAAAAAGAGGCCUAUGGAACAUUUGUCCAAAUAUUUAAAAGUUAUAAACCCAGCUAACAAACUGCUAAUUAAAGUAUAUUCAAUCCUUCUUUCUUGAGAAAUGAGGAGAAAGGACCUCUAUUCUGGAGUACUCCAGUGAACUUAAGGGAAUUGUCCAGCAUGAAAGAGAGAAACCAACAAACUAUCCAACCAACUAACCAACAAACCAGAAAGUCUGACAUGCAAAAAUGUACUGAGAUGAAAUUUAAAUGAGUAGUAGAGAGUUUUGAAUUGCCAAUAUAUGCCUAGGAAACUAAGUAAAUGAAAAGAACAAUACAAUUAUUAACUCCAGGGAAAACAAAAAGUUUGGUAGGAGAGGAAAAGUAAUCAUAGUUAUUACAUGACUCAAAUCUAACUGGAAUACAAGGUCCCAAUAAUGUAAAUAACUCAUGAUUAAUCUAAUUAAAGUUAUGAUAUAUAGUGAAAGGAGCAUGUAUGUUGUGGGUGUGCAGAGAAGGAGGAGAAUAAAUCCUCAUUUCCAUAAUGAAAAUAAAUGAUGCCUAAAACAGAAAUAUCAUGUUACCAUCAUUAAAUAUAUGUGUAGAGAUAUGGAGAUCAAUACCAAAGAACUAGCUAAAAAAAAAAAAUCAGAGUGGGUAUCCCUGGAGAACAGUAAAUAUUCAGUGAGAAGGUUGUUGACUCUGCAAACUUUGAGCAUAUUUAACUUUGAUGAAACUAAAAUUUUUAUUUUUUUAAAAAAGAUGAUUUUAAGAGAAAUAUUGAAGAUCCUGUCCUAGAUUUGAAAAACAUGAGCUUUAAGAUUAAAAGAGAUACUCAGAUCUCUUGAAAAAGGCCGGUAACAAAACACAUGACCACGAAAUUUUAGAACAGCCAUUAAAAGCCUCUGGGAGUGGGUGAAGAUACACACAAAGGACUGGAAAUAAAACGAUAGUGGUCUUCUCAACAGCAUCAUUGGAAACGAGAAGACAAUGUCUCAAUGCCCUCUGAUUCUGAGAGAAAAAUUAUUUCAAAUUCAGUAUUCUGUUAUUUUCAGGCAUACUAGAUCUUUGCCCGUUAUAGAUACUUUCUCAGGAAUCUGUGUGUGUGUUGGUUGCUUAGUCGUGUCUGACUCUUUGCAACCCCAUAGACUGCAGCCCACCAGGCCCCUCUGUCCAUGGGACUCUCUAGGCAAGAACACUGGAGUGGGUUUGCCAUUUCCUUCUCCAAAAGGAACUAUAGAAAGAAAGUGAAGUCGCCCAGUUGUGUCUGACUCUUUGCAACCCCAUGGACUGUAGCCUACCAGGCUCCUCCAUCCAUGGAAUUUUCCAGGCAAGAGUAGUGGAGUGGGUUGCCAGUUCUUUCUCAGGAAGCUACUAGAAGAUAAUUUGCCAAAAUUAGAGCAUAAAACAAACAAAGGAGAUCUAGGAAAUACAGAUAUAUUCAUCAACUCAGGCUCCGAUGCAGUCACAAACAAUACCGAACUCUCAGCGGUUUGCAGUGUAGGUUUAUUUCUUUUCACCCAGUGUGCCCACUGUGUAGUUCUGCUCCUUUUCAUCAUCAUAACUGGACUCAGGCUGGGGGAGCAUUCUUUAUCUGUGAAAUUGCCAGACUCGUGGCAGAGGGAAAAGAGAUGAUAGAACUCUCUCUUAAGUUUCCACCUUGGAAUGUCACAUGCCAUUGGCCAAAGCAAGUCACACGGUCACUUCUGAGUUUAACAAGGCAGAGAUGGAAAAUCCUCCCAUCGGAUGGGACAUCACAACUCAUAACCAAGCCUGACAUCAAUGGGGUGAGUAUAAUCACCCCCAAGACAGGAGCAGCAAAUAUUUUGAACAGUAUUAUACUCUUUCUCAAAGGGUACUCUUGCAUGGAAGAGAGGCAGAGGGAAUACCCAGGUCAGCAGCUGUGAGAAGAAGAGAGCCCCAGGAGGAAAGUCAGGCUUGGGGAGAGGAGGCUGGCAAUGACAGCUCCCCUGAUUGUUAGACAGCUGCCGCUUUUGGUAGGCACUGAAGAGGGGAGGUAGGGUAGGAGACUGCUGCUUUCUCAUCAACUUUUUUGGUAUAAAGUAAAUUUUAAAGAAAUAGGUAAAAUAGUUAUUUUAUAUAUAUUUAAACUAUUGUUAAAAUGGAUAGAAAUUUAUCUUUACUUUGAUGUGCUUGUAUGUGCUUCUGUGAUGUAUAUAUGUCCCAUGUUCGUGGUAGGUGUGUGGUUAAGACAAUUCUUUUCAAACUGUAGCUCAGAAUAGUUUGUUAUCCAUCUACCACAAGGUAAGUACAGAAGCUGAGAAUAAGUUUUAUAAACUUUAAUAGCAAUUUGACAGAGUAUUUUAUGCCUGUUGAAAUCACUAAUACAAAAUUUGGGGGCUUAUAUUUUGUAUAUUUUUAAAAAUUUACUUUUCUAGUAACUCAUUUCUACCGUAAUUUAUAAAAGCUUGCAGUAGACUGGAAUUUUUAAAAUUUGGUCCUUUACCCUGGAAUGUUUUAGAAGCUCUGAUUUAGACUGUAAAGGAUGAAUAUAUUUGAGAAUUAUUGUGCUAGAACAGUCAGCAAAUGACCAAUGCCGUAUUUUGUGAUCAUCAUUCUUCCUCCACAGUUACGCAUAUGAGAAUUUUAUAUAGAAAGAACAGAAGCAGAUUGAGGUCAGCAUUUCCCAUCCUUCCACAGUGAAGUUGUUUACGGUAUUUUCCUCGUCCUCCAUUUUACUCUCUCAAUAAAGCACCUGGAAAGAGCCCAGAGAAAACAGCAAUAUUUUUCCAAGAAGCUGUGGGAAAACAGCAUUAGUAACCCUGAGAAGGUGGAAACAUUUGACUUUCUAAGGGUAACAGCUUUCUUUUUUGCAGUCCUGUCCACAUACUGCAUUUUUGGCUACACUACUCUCACUAGUUAUAGCAGGCAAAUAUCUACGGCACUCACUUCAGUUCAGUUCCGUUGCUCAGUCGUGUCCGACUCUUUGCGACCCCAUGGACCGCAGCACUCCAGGCCUCCAUGUCCAUCACCCGGAGUCCCCUCAACCUCACGUCCAUCGAGUCGGUGAUGCCAUCCAGCCAUCUCAUCCUCUGUCGUCCCCUUCUCCUCCCGCAUUCAAUCUUUCCCAGCAUCAGGGUCUUUUCAGAUGAGUCAGCUCUUCACAUCAGGUGGCCAAAGUAUUGGAGUUUCAGCUUCAACUUCAGUCCAAAAAGAUAGAUUUCCUUUACCUUUGUAACUGUCUUACUGGAUUCUUAACUCCUUUCCCUUUAGGUUUAAUGCCUUUGCUCCUUAAUGCUUAUUCAAAGAAAGCGAAGUAUCCACACAAAAUGUCUUUUGGGGCUUAAAAACUGAUGCUUUACUGUGCUGAAGUGAAAUAUAAUUUAUCAUAGGAUGUACUUCAGAAGUAUUGGAGCACAUUUCUUCUCCAGAAGAGUUAACAUUUCUUUCAAUAUAUGAGUAAAAAGGGUGAAGUGGUCGUUAAUUGCAUCAGUCUUUAUGCUGAUGUUCACAUGCAUCCUGAUAAAACUUUACUGAUCUCUGUGUCAGUUGCGGUUUAGUCAUGUUUGUAGUCUUGGUGACACUGGAAAACAACACAGCUGACUCACGCCCUCACAGGAGCUGUUAUUACCUAAACUUAGGUACAGGAUACAGCGGUUCAAACCACACCCUAGGAGGCAUCCCAUCUCUAUAAAGUGGACUGCUACUGGAGGUUCACAGAGGCUCCCUAACUAGACUGAUCCUUUUCCAAGAUGAUCUAUGUCCUUUUUUUCCCCCACCCCCUAACCCCAGUACAAGUACCCUGUGUAGAUUCAUGUAAUGAAUCUGUAAAUGUUAUUAAUAUAUUAUUGACUAAUACUCUGUAAAUGUCAACGAACAUUUAUUCUACAGUGCAUUGCUAAAUAGCUUUUGUAACUGGUUUUUGAGCCCAGCCAGUACCAUGCUUUUGUAAUUGUGUGUCAGAGUUGUGUUUUUUUUUUCUUUCCUGGGAAGGUGGAACUGAAUCAUUUUCAGGACUUACAUAGAACCUAGUCUGUCGUCUUUAGUCCGAGAUUAAACAAACAGUGUAUACUCUUGUGGCCUAUGUGAUACAAAGUAUGAAAGAGUUAUCAAAACACCCCUUGAGUGGCUCACUGCAGCCCAGGAAUGUUUACGGGAAUGGCCCGUAAUCCAGCAUGAAGCUGAAGGAGCUGAGAAAGCACCCACUUGUUCUUUCCAUUAGGGCCUGCCCUAAGUUGUCCCUGCAUUGUCAGAGCUUGCUGCACACAGACGCAGAGCGCCCGGCAUGUGAGAGGGAGUGGAUUACCCAUUCGUGUGCUGUUUCACCAGUUAGACUAUGAGUGCCUCAGGGCAGGGGCAAAGUGUUACUCAUCCCUUUAGCCCUGCACCUCCUUGUGUGCUUGUUGUUUCUGAAAAAAUAUUUAUUUCUUUGGCUGUGUUAGGUCCCAGUUGUGGCACAUGGGAUCUUCUGUUGUAGCACUUGAGAUCCAGUUCCCUGAUAGCUCAGUUCCUAAAGAAUCCGCCUGUAAUGCAGGAGACCCCAUUUCAAUUCCUGGGUUGGGAAGAUCCGCUGAAGAAGGGAUAGGCUACCCACUCCAGUAUUCUUGGGCUUCCCUUGUGGCUCACCUGGUAAAGAAUCUACCCACAAUGUGGGAGACCUGGAUUUGAUCCCUGGGUUGUGAAGAUCCCCUGGAGGAGGGAAAGGCUACCUGCUCAAGUAUUCUGGCCCAGAGAAUUCCAUGGACUGUAUGUCCACGGGGUCACAAGAGUUGGACAUGACUGAGUGACUUUCACUUUCCCCAACCCGGGAUCAAACUGGAACUCCCUGCAUUGGGAUCACGGAGUCCCAGCCACUGGGAAGUCUCCCAUGCCUGUUUUUUGACUUGAAAAGGGAACCAAACAAAACCCCAAACCCACACAAAAGACUGGAAUUAGAAGUCUAUGUGUAGCAGAGAGAGCAGCUGGACUUGGGAAUAAUAAGUGUAGCAGGCAUCUAAGACCCAUGCUAAAGAUUUCCUUCUUAAAAUUCUUAAAGGUGAGAAAUUAUUAAAUAGGAGGCUGAUGAUUUUUUUCCAAAGGGGAAAAAGUAGCAAAGCACAAAGAUUGUAUGGGACAUACAAAAGACACAUAAGUUUUCUUCACUAUUUUGGGCAUUCUCUUAAAAGGAGGGAAAUUGGUUACUACUUCAUAGGAUUGUUGUGAGAGUAAAAAAGAAAAAAUUCCAUGUAUAGCACUUAGCACUGUUCCUGGCUCAUUGUGGCUAGUAAGUAUUAGUUAUUUUUAAUCAUCAUUAUUUCCUUGUAUCCAAUUUAAAGAUUUUUUUUUGUGUCACUAAGAAAGGCAUUCCCCAUUAAACUAUUACAUGGUGAUUUCUUACCACGGAAGUUAUUUUCUAUUUUUUGAAAAUUUAAUCCUAUCUAGUAGAUUUUUAAAAUCAUAUUUUAUUCUCAGUCAUGUAUAAAGAGGUAAAUGUAGAUAAAUCAUUUGAGGUGUUUUUAGAUUAUUUUCAUGUUCAGAGUCUAAUUCUUCACAAUCACUUUUAGAUUCAAAGACAUUGAUUUCUGUGUUUUUCCUCACAAUGUUGUUUCUGAUAUCAAAUGUUGGGAAUUUGAAAUGGAGCACUUCUAAAAUGUGCUGCUCUGCUGAAUCCUAGAUUUUCUUUCAGACUGCUGACACCCACUCUCCUUGUAUUUAUUCCGUCUUACCAGAAAGUGUCAACAGAACAUUUUCAGACAACAACCAAAUUCAUGUUCUUUCAUGAAUUCCUGCUCUUCACAUCCUAAUCUGCCUCUUCCAUGGUCUUCCCACACUGGUUCAUGAUACCUCCAUCAUAGAAGUUGCUCAGGACAGAAUCCCUGGAGACGUCUUUGGCUCUCCCCUGUUUGUUAUCUGGGCUUUGCUGGCGGUCAGAUGGUAAAGAAUGCCUGCAGGGCAGGAGACCCAGGUUCAAUCCAUGGGUUGGGAAGACCCCCUGGAGGAGGAAAUGGCAACCCAAUCCAGUAUUCUUGACUGGAGAAUUCCAUGGACAGAGGAGCCUGGCAGGCUACAGUUUGUGGAGUAUCAAAGAGUCAGACAUGACUGAGCUACUAACACAAGGAUUACACCCCACAUCCUUCCCCCAUGAUGCUAAAUCCAAAAUCUGGCUCUCAUCUGCCCCACCUUAUGCUACUUCUCUUGCCUGAGGCAUCCUCCUCUCUCAUAAUUACCUCCUAACAGGUUUUUCUGCUUCUGUCUUGGCCUGGCUAAAAUUUUAUUCUCUACAUAAUGACCUGAGUGAAUCUUGCAAAAAUAAGAUCAUGUCUCUCCACUACUCAAAGCCCAUCAACAGUUCCCCAUUUCACACAGAGUAAAAGCCACAGUGUUUGUAAUGGCCCACAAGCUGCCAUCACUGAUACUCCCUGCUUUGCCUCUCUCUUCCCCUCCUAUUCCCUUCUGAGGCAUUUUGCUCCAGACUCACUGGCCUCCAAGCUUCUUCUCAAACUCACCAAGCAUAUUCCUGUGUGAGGGUCUUUGCUCUUGUUCUUUCCACUAUCUGGAAGCCUCUUUUUCUGGGAUCUGCAAAGACGAAGGAAGUGAGUUAAUUCCCUCACCUCCUUCGAGUCUUUGCUUCAAUCCUAUUCUCACAGAAGAGAACAUGAGUACUCUUAUAUAUGGUUCAAGUACUAUAACUUUGAACCUUCUUCUAUACCCUAGUCCAUCCCAGCCCUCUUAACCCCUUCCAUGUUUUCUUUUUCCAUAUGUUUCUGUUGGUCAGUUGCUAAGUCGUGUCCAACUCUUUUGCAAUUCCAUGGACUACAGGCCACCAGGCUCCUCUGUCCAUGGGAUUUCCCAGGCAAAAAUACUAGAGUGGGUUGCCAUUUUCUUCUCCAGGGGAUCUUCCUAGACCAGGGAUUGAACCCACAUCUCCUGCAUGGGCAGACAGAUUCCUUUACCACUGAGCCACCAGGGAAGCCCUUUAUUUUUCCAUAGCACUUAUCAUUAUAACAUGCUAUAAAGUUUACUUAUUAUAGUUUAUUUAUUGUGUAUUUUUCCUUGCAAGAGUAGGCAUCUUUGAUUUGUUCACUGAUGUUUCCCAGAUGCCCAGAAUGGCACCUCAUCUGCGCUUAUUCGUUACUUGUUAAAAUGUACUGAAUUGUGGUAAGUACUAUGACUGAGGUCUGUGCAAGGUGCCAUGGCCCACACUGAGCAGGCUAAAACUUUGUGAAGGAUCUAAUGCCUCAGCUGAACUUUUAAGGCUGAAUACAGUGAGGCAGCUAAAGGAAUCACAAGAAGCAGUGAAGUUACAGGUACAGAGUGCUCCCUUGGGUAUUGUUUUAGGUGGAUAUUUAGAUUGGAGUCCACCUGUUGAUUACAGUUCCAGGUAUGAAAGUCAAGAAGCCCCAGAGGUAAUACACUUUGCAAAAAAAAAAAAAAAAAAAAGCUUAUUUUUGUCUUGGUGUGCCACGAUGUAGUGAGCAUGUAUGACAUUUCAUGGUCAGACUGGCAUGGGCCAGGAAUUUCAGCUUGAUCAGCCAAGGUGGCAAAUCUUUGUUUUGAUCAGUGGAGUAAUCAGUAAUGAUUGGUUCUACCAGUCAAAAUAAUAGUCAAGGAAGUUUACACUGAGUAUCUUCAGAAAGGAAUGCGAAUGACAUAGGAAGUUUUCUCCUUUGAGGUGUUCUUUCAGUAUAGACCAGGGAUUGUCCUCAAAGAUAGAGCCUUAGUUAUUUUAGUAUCUGGGAUAAGAUACAAAUUCAUUCUUAAAAAGCCUUAUAACUUCUGAUAUAUGGCUUAUGUGUUCUUAAAAAUGUAUGCCAUCUGUGGCUUCAUAUUUAAAUAAUUAUUCUUGAUAAUUAGCUGUCAAGCUCAGUUGUUUCUAGCUAUUGAAGGAGUAUAUGUGCUGUCACCAUGUAAAAUACAUUUUAGAAUUGUGCACAUUUUAUUAAUAAGAUGUUUGCUUGUGCCCUUUAGUUUCAGUAGGCAGAUACAGAACUCUUUCUGCCUUCCUAAUUGUGCCUCUCUUCAUAGAAUCACCGAAGCUCAGUCUCUGACUGGCAGACAGUAAUCAAUACACAUUAUCUAAAUGAAUCAAAUACAUUUUGGUGCAGAAGAGACGUAUAUUCUAAGUCUCAAAGACUUGGGGAAACCAAACUUAAGGUACUCUUUUAUCUGUAACAUAGGGCUCAUCAUGGUUCCCAUCUCAGUUUUCAUGAGAAUUAAUAUAUGUCUUUUAAAAAAAAUAGACUUCAGUUUUUUAGAACAGUUUUAGAUUUAAGGAAGUGAGCAGAUAGUACAGAGAAUACGUACUUACAGCCCUCCCCUCACCCCAUCCCAUGCCCAGUUUCCCUACUGUUAACAUCUUGUAUUAGUGUGGUACAUUUGUUACAAAUACUAAACCAAUAGUGACAUAUUAUUAUUAGCUAAAGUCUUUAGUUUAUUAGGAUUUCCUUCGUCUCUACCUAAUGCCCUUUUCUGUUCCCAUAAUUCCAUCCAGAAUACUAGGUUACAUUUUCUAGUCGUGUCUCCUUAAGUUCCCUGUGAUACUUUCUCAGACUUCCCUGUUUUUGAUGAUUUUUGACAGGUUUGAGGUAUACUGGUAAGAUAUAUUAUAGUAUGUGUCUCUUUUGGAACUUGUUUUGGUGUAAUGCAGGAGACCCCCGUUUGAUUCCUGAGUCAGGAAGAUCUGCUGGAGAAGGCAUAGGCUACCCACUCCAAUAUUCUUGGGUUUCCCUGAUGGCUCAGAUGGGAAAGAAUCUGCCUGCAAUGUGGUAGGCCUGGGUUCAAUCCCUGGGUUGGGAAGAUCCCUUGGAGAAGAGAACGGCUACCCACUCCAGUAUUCUGACCUAGAGAAUUCCAUGGACAGAGGAGCCUCGGGGGCUACAGUUCAUGGGGUUGGAAAGAGCCAGACACGACGGAGUGACUUUCACACAAGAUGUAUAAAAGUGUUAGUUACUAUUAUUGCUUCGUAUUUAGAUUACAUUGUGGAACAGAUAAGAUGUUGUAGGGAGAUAGUUUUACCGGAUGUAAAAAGAUUUAUUUAAGGCUUGAUCAUUUUAUCAGUGCUUAAAGAUCUCAGGAAAAAAUGUGGCUUUCUUACAUCUGUCUUUUCAUCUGUCCAUUUGAUUCAGUAAAUAUUCUCCAAGUCCUUGUUUGGAGGGUAAAAUGUAUUGGAUGCUGGGGAUUCAAUGAUGAACAAAACUGCCCCCAUGAGCUUUCAGUCAAAUAGGGAGAUGGUUAAUAGGCAAAUGAAAAUAGAAAACAACCUAAAGAAUGGCUUGUGACAAGUGAAGAAAAUAAAAUAUUCUUGAAGAAUGUUUCAGCUGGUGAGGGGAAGGGGUACUACUUAGCAUUAUAUCUUAGUUAGGAUUUAAUUGUGAGGGGCAGAAAACUUUAAACACAGAACUGAAGAUAGGAAUUCCUCAUGUUCAGGAAGUCAGGGAGUGUGGCAUCUCCAUAAUACCAGGGGCCUGGGCUCCUUCUAUCUUGUUGCUCUGCUGUGCAUGGAUUCCUUUCCCACGGUCAUCUCAUGAUCAAAGACAGCUUCCAGGGCUCCACCCAUCAUAUCUGAAUCCCAGCCAGCAUGAAGGUGACAGAGACAGAGAAGAGAACACCCCUUCCCCCAUUUCUGCUUGCUUUUUGUUUGUCGAAAUGUAGCCGUGGCCUUACCUAGCCACCUAACCUAGUUUUCAUCCACGUGGCCAGGUAUACCAGUUAAACAUUAGAAGUGUUAUUGCUGUAGAACAGCGGUUCUCACACUUCAGCAUGCAUCAGACUCACCUACAAGGCUUGUUGAGAUACAGGUUUCUGGGCCCCAUCCUCAGAGUUUCUCUCUCAGUAGAAGGCCAAGAAUCUGCAUUGCUAACAAGUUCUCAUGUGUUGAUACUGCUGUUCCAGGACCACACUUUGAGGGCCACUGCCACAGAAGAAGGCGAGCAGGGGUCUGGGGAAAGUGGUCUCUGAGUUGGAGCAUAAUUUGAACUUCGAUCAUUUACAUUUUUGUAUUUAGACAGAUGAUGCUUUCUGAGGUUAAGUAUUUCAUCUUUGAUGUACCAAAUCUGGGUAGCUGUACACAGUUUAGUAAUUUUGUGUAAGGUCAGUAGAUUGGUUAUCUACUGCUAGGUUACAAAGUACCCCAAAACACAGUGGCAUAAAGCAGUAAUUUGCUUAUGUAGACCUGCAAUCUGAGCGGACUCAGUGGAAAAGAUAUGCAUUUGCUCUACAUGUGUGGGCUGGUCAUGGCUCGGGCUGGAGGGUGCAGCAUGGUCCCACUCACAUGUCUGGGUAUGGCUGUCAGCUGGGCACCUUGGGGCUCCUUCCGCUAAGACACUUGUCUAACAGGACAGCCUGGGCUUCCUUACAUGGAGGCUUGAGGCUCCACAAGGGUGCCUGGAAAUCACACCUGCCCAGUUCUGUGAGUCAAGAAAGUCACAAAGCCAACCCAGGUUCAAGGGGAGAGGAAAUGGACUCCACUGACUGAUGGAAGUAUUCUUGCCUGGAGAAUUCCGUGGACAGAGGAGCCUGGUGGGCUACAGUCCAUGGGGUUCCAAAGAGGUGGACAUGACUGAGUAGCAGAGUCAUAUGGAAAAAGCAUGCAAUUGAGGGGAUUAUUGUGUCUGUCCCUGGCAAUAGUCUACUGUAGUGAGAACUGAGAAUGACAGUAUUAUAGUAGGAAUCCCUAACAGUUGUAAAUAUGGACAUAGACUUGUCAAUCAUGUUUUAUCCCUACCAGGACUAGAGUGUCACAUGGAUAAAACACUUCCAAACGUGCACUGGUGGAAAAGAAAUACAGUGCGGGGUGUGGCCUGGCCGGGGUGUAGCCAUACUGCACAGCGGACUCCGGCGCCUUGGAGGAGUGUGCUCGGGAGCCUUGCCCCUGGCGAAUUGUGGAUGAUUGCUAUGGAG
ensembl:lncRNA